UCGAGCGAGGGUCCCCGCGGCCCGACCUCCCAACCCCGUGCCUACCUUACCUGUUGCUUCGGCGGGCCCGCCCCCGGGCCGCCAGGGGCUCGUCCCCCGGCCAGCGCCCGCCGAAGACCCAACGAACGCCUGGAAGUGCUGUCUGAGCAACUAUGCAAUAGUUA
rnacentral:misc_RNA from 1 species